UACGUAGGGUGCGAGCGUUAAUCGGAAUUACUGGGCGUAAAGCGUGCGCAGGCGGCGCGUUAAGACAGGUGUGAAAGCCCCCGAGCUUAACUUGGGAAUUGCGCUUGUGACUGGCGUGCUGGAGUGUGGCAGAGGGAGGUGGAAUUCCACGUGUAGCAGUGAAAUGCGUAGAGAUGUGGAGGAACACCGAUGGCGAAGGCAGCCUCCUGGGCCAGCACUGACGCUCAUGCACGAAAGCGUGGGGAGCGAAACAGGAUUGAGAAACCCGUAGGUA
rnacentral:rRNA from 1 species